rnacentral:ncRNA from 1 species
UACGGGAGAACCGGCUCUGCCGGUGCCGAAGGAGCAACCGCCCCGGAAACUCUCAGGCGACAGGACCGAAU